rnacentral:rRNA from 1 species
ACGAACGCUGGCGGCGUGCCUAACACAUGCAAGUCGAACGUGAAGCCGGUGCUUGCACCGGUGGAAAGUGGCGAACGGGUGAGUAACACGUGAGAAACCUGCCCUGGAGACCGGGACAACCAUUGGAAACGAUGGCUAAUACCGGAUGCCCUCAGAUGAUCGCAUGAUCGACUGAGGAAAUGCUCUGGCGCUCUGGGAGGGUCUCGCGGCCUAUCAGUUAGUUGGUGGGGUAACGGCCUACCAAGACAUCGACGGUAGCUGGUCUGAGAGGACGAUCAGCCACACUGGGACUGAGACACGGCCCAGACUCCUACGGGAGGCAGCAGUGGGGAAUAUUGCGCAAUGGGCGAAAGCCUGACGCAGCAACGCCGCGUGAGGGAUGACGGCUUUCGGGUUGUAAAGCACUUUCAGCAGCGAAGAAAUGUCGGGGGCUAAUACCCCCUGGCUUUGACGUUAACUGCAGAAGAAGUACCGGCUAACUCCGUG